rnacentral:rRNA from 1 species
CAAUAGCGUAUAUUAAAGUUGUUGCAGUUAAAAAGCUCGUAGUUGGAUUUGUGGCGUACGGUGUGUUCCGGGCACUUGUUGUCUGAGUAACCUGCUGUUGCCAUCCUUGGGUGGAACCUGUGUGGCAUUAGGUUGUCGUGCAGGGGAUGCCCAUCAUUUACUGUGAAAAAAUUAGAGUGUUCAAAGCAGGCUUAUGCCGUUGAAUAUAUUAGCAUGGAAUAAUGAGAUAGGACUUUUUUGCUAUUUUGUUGGUUUGCGCAAAGAGGUAAUGAUUAAUAGGGACAGUUGGGGGUAUUCGUAUUCCAUUGUCAGAGGUGAAAUUCUUGGAUUUUUGGAAGACGAACUACUGCGAAAGCAUUUACCAAGGAUGUUUNCAUUAA